rnacentral:rRNA from 1 species
AUUGAACGCUGGCGGCAGGCUUAACACAUGCAAGUCGAGCGAGCGGCGGACGGGUGAGUAAUGUCUGGGAAACUGCCUGAUGGUGGGGGAUAACUACUGGAAACGGUAGCUAAUACCGCAUACCAUCAGAUGUGCCCAGAUUGGCUUAGCUAGUGGGUGGGGUAAUGGCUCACCUAGGCGACGAUCCCUAGCUGGCGUGAGAGGAUGAUGAGGCACACUGGAAAUGGGGCACGGUCCAGACUCCUACGGGAGGCAGGGGUGGGGGAUAUUGGAAAAUGGGCGCAAGGCUGAUACGACCCAGCCAGGGAUGUGGAGAAGGCCUUCAGGUUGUAAAGCACUUUCAGCGAGGAAGCGUUACUCGCAGAAGAAGCACCGGCUAACUCCGUGCCAGCCGCCGCGGUAAUUC